rnacentral:rRNA from 1 species
UGGGGAAUUUUGGACAAUGGGCGAAAGCCUGAUCCAGCAAUGCCGCGUGUGUGAAGAAGGCCUUCGGGUUGUAAAGCACUUUUGUCCGGAAAGAAAUCCUUGGCUCUAAUACAGUCGGGGGAUGACGGUACCGGAAGAAUAAGCACCGGCUAACUACGUGCCAGCAGCCGCGGUAAUACGUAGGGUGCAAGCGUUAAUCGGAAUUACUGGGCGUAAAGCGUGCGCAGGCGGUUUGCUAAGACCGAUGUGAAAUCCCCGGGCUCAACCUGGGAACUGCAUUGGUGACUGGCAGGCUAGAGUAUGGCAGAGGGGGGUAGAAUUCCACGUGUAGCAGUGAAAUGCGUAGAGAUGUGGAGGAAUACCGAUGGCGAAGGCAGCCCCCUGGGCCAAUACUGACGCUCAUGCACGAAAGCGUGGGGGAGCAAACAGGAUUAGAUACCCUGGGUAGUCCACGCCCUAAAACGAUGUCAACUAGUUGUUGGGGAUUCAUUUCCUUAGUAACGUAGCUAACGCGUGAAGUUGACCGCCU